rnacentral:rRNA from 1 species
GGUUAAAAAGCUCGUAGUUGGAUUUCUGUGGAAAACGUCCGGUCCGCACUUCGUGCGUGUAUCUGGCACGGUUUCUGCAUCCUCGCGGGGAACGUUUGCGCUUCAUUGCGUGGGCGGGAAUCGUGACUUUUACUUUGAGGAAAUUAGAGUGUUCACGGCAGGCUUUCGCCUUGAAUACAUUAGCAUGGAAUAAUAAUAUAGGACCUUGGUUCUAUUUUGUUGGUUUCUAGAACUAAGGUAAUGAUUAAUAGGGAUAAUUGGGGGCAUUCGUAUUAACGCGUCAGAGGUGGAAUUCUUGGAUUGCGUUACGACGAACUACUGCGAAAGCAUUUGCCAAGAAUGUUUUCAUUAAUCAAGAACGAAAGUUAGAGGUUCGAAGGCGAUUAGAUACCGCCCUA